CGGGACGGGUGAGUAAUGUCUGGGAAACUGCCUGAUGGAGGGGGAUAACUACUGGAAACGGUAGCUAAUACCGCAUAACGUCGCAAGACCAAAGAGGGGGACCGUUCGGGCCUCUUGCCAUCGGAUGUGCCCAGAUGGGAUUAGCUAGUAGGUGGGGUAACGGCUCACCUAGGCGACGAUCCCUAGCUGGUCUGAGAGGAUGCCAGCCACACUGGAACUGAGACACGGUCCAG
rnacentral:rRNA from 1 species